UACGAAGGGGGCGAGCGUUGUUCGGAAUUACUGGGCGUAAAGGGUGUGUAGGCGGACUUGUAAGAUAGCGGUGAAAUGCCUGAGCUUAACUUAGGAACUGCCGUUAUAACUAUAAGUCUAGAGUGAUAGAGAGGAUAUUGGAAUACCCAGUGUAGAGGUGAAAUUCGUAGAUAUUGGGUAGAACACCGGAGGCGAAGGCGAGUAUCUGGCUAUCAACUGACGCUGAGGCACGAAAGCAUGGGGAUCAAAC
rnacentral:rRNA from 1 species